rnacentral:rRNA from 1 species
AACGCUGGCGGCGUGCCUAACACAUGCAAGUCGAACGGAGUUACGAGAGCUUGCUUUGUAACUUAGUGGCGGACGGGUGAGUAAUGUAUGAGCAACCUGCCUUUCAGAGGGGGACAGCAGUUGGAAACGACUGCUAAUACCGCAUAAUGUGCGGGGAGGGCAUCCUCCCUGUACCAAAGGAGCAAUCCGCUGAAAGAUGGGCUCAUAUCUGAUUAGUUAGUUGGCAGGGUAACGGCCUACCCAAGACUGCGAUCAGUAGCCGGACUGAGAGGUUGAACGGCCACAUUGGGACUGAGAUACGGCCCAGACUCCUACGGGAGGCAGCAGUGGGGAAUAUUGGGCAAUGGGCGAAAAAGCCUGACCCAGCAACGCCGCGUGAAGGAAGAAGGUCUUCGGAUUGUAAACUUCUUUUAUGAGGGACGAAGGACGUGACGGUACCUCAUGAAUAAGCCACGGCUAACUACGUGCCAGCCGCGGC